rnacentral:lncRNA from 1 species
UGCAGGAGGUGACCUCUAUUGUUGUGGGUGAUGGAGUGUCGAGUGUAAAAGAUUUUGUAAGAAUUUUUUGAGGUUUGAGGUGCCUUGUUGUAUUAAUUUUGGGUUACUGUAAAAUCACCAUUCAUCUUCAGCAUCAAUGGAUCUGCUGAAAACAGAAGUAGGGAUUAAUUAUGAUCAUCGUGUAUUUAAAAUAAAAUCAGUUAAUGAUCAUCCCAAUAUCGUCUUUUGUUUCAACAGAUUCAUGCAGCUUGGUGGCAUCAUCUUGAUUGAUAUUGGUAAAAAAAAACAAUAAUGAAAGUUAGCAUUGUUGUUACUAUAAUGCAGAAGGUUAUUGCAAUGUAAAUGACUUAGGUUUCCGAGUUUAAGACAAU